GCAGGCUGCAACCCGCCCUGCAUGAAGUCGGAAUUGCUAGUAAUCGCGGAUCAGCAUGCCGCGGUGAAUACGUUCCCGGGCCUUGUACACACCGCCCGUCACACCAUGAGAGCCGGGGGGACCCGAAGUCCGUAGCUUAACCGUAAGGAGGGCGCGGCCGAAGGUAAAACUGGUGAUUGGGGUGAAGUCGUAACAAGGUAGC
rnacentral:rRNA from 1 species